rnacentral:rRNA from 1 species
GAUGAACGCUGGCGGCGCGCCUAACACAUGCAAGUCGAGCGAGAACCCCGGGCGGGGUAACCCACCCGGGGGGAGAGCGGCGAACGGGUGAGUAACACGUGGGCGACCUGCCCCAGGCACUGGGAUAACCCCGGGAAACCGGGGCUAAUACCGGAUACUCCGGCCGGACCGCAUGAUCCGACCGGGAAAGCUCCGGCGGCCUGGGAUGGGCCCGCGGCCUAUCAGCUUGUUGGCGGGGUAACGGCCCACCAAGGCGACGACGGGUAGCUGGUCGGAGAGGACGGCCAGCCACACUGGGACUGAGACACGGCCCAGACUCCUACGGGAGGCAGCAGUGGGGAAUCUUGCGCAAUGGGCGAAAGCCUGACGCAGCGACGCCGCGUGGGGGACGAAGGCCCUCGGGUCGUAAACCCCUUUCGGCAGGGACGAAGCGAGAGUGACGGUACCUGCAGAAGAAGCUCCGGCUAACUACGUGCCAGCCGCCGCCGUAAGAC